CCUACGGGAGGCAGCAGUAGGGAAUUUUCGUCAAUGGGGGAACCCUGACAGAGCAACGCCGCGUGAACGACGAAGUUAUUCGUAAUGUAAAGUUCUUUUAACAGGGAAGAAAGAGAAAUUUGACGGUACCUGAUGAAUAAGCUCCGGCUAACUACGUGACAGCAGCCGCGGUAAUACGUAGGGAGCGAGCGUUAUCCGGAAUUAUUUGGCGAAAAGGGUGCGUAGAUGGCAAAGUAAGUCUUUUGUAAAAAUGCUGGGCUAAACCCAGAAGGGCAAAAGAUACUGCAAAGCUAGAGUAUGACAGAGGCAAGGGGAAGUACAGGUGUAGCGGUAAAAUGCGUAAAUAUAUGUAAGAACACCAGUGGCGAAGGCGGCUUGCUGGGUCAAUACUGACAUUGAGGCACGAAAGCGUGGGGAGCAAACAGGAUUAGAUACCCGGGUAGUC
rnacentral:rRNA from 1 species